UGGGAACGUGCCCAAAGGUACGGAACAACUCCGGGAAACUGGAGCUAAUACCGUAUGUGCCCGAAAGGGGAAAGAUUCAUCGCCUUUGGAUCGGCCCGCGUCUGAUUAGCUAGUUGGUGUGGGUAACGGCCCACCAAGGCGACGACGGGUAGCCGGCCUGAGAGGGUGACCGGCCACUGGGACUGAGACACGGCCCAGACUCCUACGGGAGGCAG
rnacentral:rRNA from 1 species